GUGAGUCCAUAAUAUUACAAGUGGAGCCAAAAAAAUAAAAGGACAAAAGCUUUUACUGCUGUGUCAGUGGACGGUAGGGAUUUCAUCUGUGCUGAGCAUAGAAGAGGAAGUUGGUUUUAAGACACAGAUCACUUAUCUUCUGGAUGAAAGACAGAUCGGAUUUCCAAAACUUCCAUUUUCCCAUUUCAUGUCGUCCGCAAGGAAAACGGCUGAAGAUGAAGACAGCACACUUUGAGAGAUUGAAUAAACAUCCCCCAAACAGCAGAAGGAGUAGCCAGAACACAGAUUUACUUGCCUAGCUUCAAAUCCAGUAUGUUUACCAGGCAUUCAGGACUCUUUGUAAUUUUCUUACUGAUGUAGAAUUCAUUGUAAUAUGUGUUGGAAAUGUCUUCUCCCAGGAAGUGUUGAUGUUUUCAUGGACAUCAUCCUUAGAUGACAGGAAUUCCUCAAUUUUCUAAUAAUGUUAGAGAGUCUCUACAAUCUCUUUCUUCCAAAGAGCUGUCCUCCAUCGACACCGAACACCUGUAGUUUUAAUACAGCUUCCGCACACAGAGUUUCCUUGCUUUCUCUUGCUUGGAUUUUGGAUUAUAUCAUUACAAGGUCAUUGAAGUUUAUUACAGGGAAACCGAUGUCCAAAGAGUAUCAAGAAACUGAAGCUUCCCAGAGCCCAACUCCUCGGCUUCCUGGCACCAGAAUCCACCAUCUAGCACGAAGGCAGACAACCAAGGACAUUAACCUGCAGAUCCCCUCAUCUCAUCAUCUACCCUCUCUGCUAGCAGUCUGACAAAGCCAAACACAGUCUGGUGGGAAAGCACUGACCAGCAAGGUCACGGGCUCCCCUUCCCUACAAGCAGCAAAACUUUAAAACCCUUUAUCCCCUUCUUAAUGGAGAGCCAGAAGUCCCUAAGCCAUUAGCCAACUGGUAUUCCCUUUGCCUGGCAAAGAAAAUAAUGAAACCCUUUUUUUCCUUUUCACCCAAAACUCUGUUCUCAUUUGGAUUGGCACUGAGUUCGGAGACCGAACUUUCAGUAACAACCUCACAAUUUACAAAUGUGUGGAAAAACUCUCUUUUCCCCCAACUUUCUGUUUUGAUAAAUUUCAAACCAGCAGCAAAUUUGAAAGAAGAGUAUAGUAUAAACACCCAUGUAUUCUUCAUAUAUUCACACACAUUUUUGCUGAACCAUUUUUAAAUAAGUUGCAUAAACCAUGACUCUAAAUAGCUCUGUAUGUAGCUCUCAAAAAUUAGAACUGAAAAAAAGCAUGAGGAUGUUUUCCAACAUAAUCACAAUAAUUACAUAAUUAUAACUCUCAAGGGUUUUUAAAUUGAUAAAAUAGUCCUAUUUUAUGUACAGUCCUUUACCAAAUGGCCUCAGUUGUCCCAAUAAUGACCUUUAUAGCUAUUUUGUUGUUGUUAUAUUGAAGCAAGAUCCAAUCAAGGACUGCAUGUUACAGUUAACUGUCAUAACUCUUUAGUCUCUUCACAUUGAAAACUUUGCCCUGUCUUUUAAAAAAAUUCUCGUAUAAUAUUGAAACUUUUGAAAAACCCAAGUCAGCUGCUUUUGUGGUAUAAUAAUUGCAUUUAUCUAAUUGGCAUCUCAUGCUUCAAUUCAGAAUUAAACAUUUGCAGUAAGAAUGCUACAUGGUUGGGGAUGGAUUCUGCUCAGUUAUCUUACUAGGAGUCAUAUAAUGUCAGUUUGAUCUAUUAUUGGUGAUAUUUGUUUUCUCCAUUGUAAAGGUACUUUUUGCCCGUUGUAAUUAUUUUUUUAAACUCUAUUUUAAAUAAAAUUUAAAUAAACCUACCUAUUUUUUUUUU
rnacentral:lncRNA from 1 species